rnacentral:rRNA from 1 species
CCUACGGGAGGCAGCAGUGGGGAAUAUUGCACAAUGGGGGAAACCCUGAUGCAGCGACGCCGCGUGAGUGAAGAAGUAUUUCGGUAUGUAAAGCUCUAUCAGCAGGAACGAGACAAGACGGUACCUGACUCAGAAGCCCCGGCUAACUACGUGCCAGCAGCCGCGGUAAUACGUAGGGGGCAAGCGUUAUCCGGAAUCACUGGGUGUAAAGGGAGCGUAGACGGCUGUGCAAGCCUGAAGUGAAAGGCGGGGGCCCAACCCCUGGACUGCUUUGGGAACUGUACGGCUGGAGUGCAGGAGAGGUAAGUGGAAUUCCUAGUGUAGCGGUGAAAUGCGUAGAUAUUAGGAGGAACACCAGUGGCGAAGGCGGCUUACUGGACUGUAACUGACGUUGAGGAGCGAAAGCGUGGGUAGCAAACAGGAUUAGAUACCCCAGUAGUC